rnacentral:rRNA from 1 species
UACGUAGGGCGCAAGCGUUGUCCGGAAUUAUUGGGCGUAAAGAGCUCGUAGGCGGUUUGUCGCGUCUGCUGUGAAAACCUAAGGCUCAACCUUGGGCUUGCAGUGGGUACGGGCAGACUAGAGUGCGGUAGGGGUGACUGGAAUUCCUGGUGUAGCGGUGAAAUGCGCAGAUAUCAGGAGGAACACCGGUGGCGAAGGCGGGUCUCUGGGCCGAUGACUGACGC